UAUCCCAUUUUGUUCUUAUAUCUAAGAAACUUUGCUUUGAGAGAUUCAAAUACUCGACCUGCACCUGUUAAGCCAUACCUGGUUUUAUAAAAAAACACUGGUUGCUUACAUAAAAAGGAUUUGAGCUCACAAAUUAACUAAAAACACAAAAACUUUACAUUUGGAGAGCCACUAAAACAGUUUAAAUCGUAAAAUGGAGCGCUGGAACGUGAACUAGUAAUGGUUAUAAACUCACUCGAAGCGCACCAGUCUAAUCCGCCUGUUAAAUUUCUCUCCUGGUAUUGGCUAACGGGAAACUGUUUUGACGACACAGAAGCGGAAAACGCCACGGCGCGUUGAUAACAAAAUUGGAAUAGCCUUAAAAGUUGACGCCUCACAAAUGGGAACCAGAUAAAAGAGGAAAAUACUAAGUACAAUAAUAACACAAAGAACACGUCGACGUAUAUACUUACAUAUGGAGUGCGAUAUGGACAGAAACGCAAUGGCAACAACAACAACAUAGGGUUUAAGCAAUUUUAGCUACAAAUACAAUUAGAUUGCAACUAACGCUAAGCUAAGCGCUACUAUUUAAGUAAUGUCAGUGCUACGAAAUGGGAAUGAGAGCACAAAUUGGCGCUCGUGCAUGCGAAGCCAAUUGUUGUCGAAAAAAAAAAAAAAAAUAUUUACUGUGUAGGCGCUGAGUUUGAUGUGGUUUGGAAAAAAAAAAACAAAGCUUGGCGUCAUUAAAUGUCAGGAGCGAACAGCUGAUCGAUGGCCUAAGGGGCAAAUUACUUUUGGGGGUGUAAAAUGCCUACAUUGUGUGAUUGCGGAAGAAGAAGAAGAAUAUACAAUUACAAAAAAAAAAAUUAAAUGGCAUACAAAACAAGAAAUAUAUAAUAUGAACGGGUAGCGCUAGAAGAGCAUAAGGAGGAAAAAUUACACAGCAACUGCUUUCAGAGCUAUAUUCAUAAAGGUUGGCCAAAGUGAAAUUCUUCCCCGCCUCUAAUACCCCGGAUGACGACCUGGAGGAAUUAGUGGACGAUAAAAAGAAGCUGCGCAACCAUCUGCGGUUGUCUGAGACGAACGCAGAUUCCGAGAAAAGGGAGCAGUCGUAAAGGUACGCAACUCUUUUGAGCAGUUUGUUAAAAGUAAUUCAAAUUAACCUUCAUCACUCUAAACUAACCACCGAUAACCUACGAGUCAUCCUCCGUGAGGAGGAGAUCGAUG